rnacentral:rRNA from 1 species
UACGUAGGGGGCAAGCGUUGUCCGGAUUUAUUGGGCGUAAAGAGCGUGUAGGCGGUUUGGUAGGUCCGCUGUGAAAACUCGAGGCUCAACCUCGAGACGCCGGUGGAAACCAUCAGACUAGAGUCCGGAAGAGGAGAGCGGAAUUCCUGGUGUAGCGGUGAAAUUCGUAGAUAUUGGGAAGAACACCGGUGGCGAAGGCGGCGACCUGGUCCGACACUGACGCUGAGGCGCGAAAGCGUGGGGAGCAAACAGG